CGUGGCGCCUCUGGAAUAGGCGGAGCCACGAGGUGGUGAACGAGGAUAAAACCAGACUGUCAAUGGGCUGCUGCAAGGCAUACACUUGACUUGAGCUAUCGCUAAGCAAUGAGAUUUCAGAGAGUUCUCCUUGUAGUUUUUUGUUCGUAUUUUUCUCGUUUCGAAGGAAAAUGUUUGAAAGAUGAGGCGUGUGUGGGAAUGCGGAGAGGAAACCAGUACGACUUUGACCUUCCAGACGAUGUGGCUGUAAAUGUGCAAGACAACAGAUGUGAUGCAGAAUGGACUGUUGAUAAUGAACACACAGCAAUUCUGGAUGGAAAAUCAAUAAACUUUACUCUGCCAUUCAAAAACGUAACUACUUUUGGAAUCGGUGUGAAUUAUUGCCCAGAUUCAGUCAAAUAUCACGUCAGCUGUCAUGCAUACACCAAGGACCUGAGAUGUUGCUGUGAGUAGUUUUAAUAUUUGCUUCCUAUUAACAAAGGCUAAAAACAAUAACAAUACAUAAAGAUAACUGUGGCAAUACGGUUUUAACACUACAGGCACAAAGAAGAGCACCGUUUCUAGCACACCUCUGCCAUCUGCAGGCACAGCCAGCACACCUAGCAAACCAUCUGCAGAUGAACCUGGAUAUCCUGGAUUCAUCUCCACCGAUUUAAAGAGAAAUCAAUAUGCUGCUUAUGGGGUUACUGUUUUGUUUUGCUGCAUAUGCCUUAUUCUGACCUUCAUCAUCCUCAGGAAAAAAAGAGAUUCUGCUGCUGAACAAAACCAACCAGAUUCAUCUGUAUAAUUUCCCUAUAAGGAUCUUAAGCAUCUGUGUUUAAGCAGGAAAGAAACUCAUUAUUAUACGACGUGGAGUCUAGUUAUGUAAUAUUUGUAACAUAUUUAUUAUGUAAUAACCAUUAUUAUACAAUAAUAUAAAUAUAUGUGACCAUGUCUUUGAAAUCCAGGCUAAACUCUCAUAAUCUAAUUAUGAGUUGAGGAGUAUCAAGGAGCAGGAUUAAAAGCAGGUUUUGAUUUACAUUCUUUGAUAGCAGGGUCACAUAAUAACUCACACUAUUAUAUAUUAUAUUAUAUUAUAUUAUAUUAUAUUAUAUUAUAUUAUAUUAUAUUAUAUUAUAUUAUAUUAUAUUAUAUUGCAAUCAUCCAACAUUGUCAUUCUUUUGGGAAGCUGGGUGAGCAUAGUCUUUUAGAAAUGUAUAUAUUUAAAUAUUAAACCAUACUAUUAUUAUUAUUAUUAUUAUUAUUAUUAUUAUAGAGUACUAUUAAAGUAAUAUUAAAACAUAUCAUUAUCAUAUGUGAAUUUUAUUCAAAAUAUAUUAUAUUUGUAUUAUGUUCAUAAUAACUACAUAAUGGUAGUUUAAUGAACCUAAUGGCCAUAAUCAUUAUUGUGUUUAUAAUAGCU